rnacentral:lncRNA from 1 species
CGGGAGCUGAGAAGUUGCAGGGUUGAGUUGGUCCCGGCAAGUCCUUGAGCAGUUUGUUCCUCUGUCUUCCCGCUUCCUGGUGCCCCGACUGCGUCCCCACGAACGCCCCGUCCUUACCGCCGGCUGCUGUGGAGUGCCUCGCUGUCUCCCAGGUUCCUGGUUUCAGAGAAGAUGACCGAAGAAGUGGAUUUCCUGGGACAGGACUCUGAUGGGGGUAGUGAGGAAGUGGUCCUAACUCCUGCAGAGCUCAUUGAAAGAUUGGAGCAGGUGAUCCACCCACCUCGGCCUCCCAAAGUGCUGGAAUUAUAGGCGUGAGCCACUGCGCACGGCCUGGGGAGGUUUUAUUUCUUGACAAAGGUAUUUGAUACUCGUGCAGUCCCUGGAGGGUCUCACUGGAGAGACAACAUUUAGGCUGAGAUCUGAUUAACAGGAGGCAGCUGCAGUGCAGAGGUCAAAAGGGAGGGUGUUCCAGGCAGAGAAAACAGCCUGUGCAAAGGCCCUGAGGCAGAAACAAACUCUACUUGAGGUCAGCCUGGUUAGAAAGCCCAACUCAAAAUAGAAAGUAUUACAUGAUAAGGUCUGAGGCAGGCUGGACCCAGAUCUUACAGGACCUUGUUAAUAAGGAUCCCAUUUGGUCCCCCACAGUCCUGAGAAGCGGGCAGGGCUGUGGGAAACAGCAGAUAUUUAGUGGUAAGCCUGAGAUCAGAACCCAAGUCUGCACUUCCUAGUCACGUUCUCCCUGUAGUGCUAAGCCCAGAGACCUGAGCUGUUAACCUAGAACAGUGUGCUUCCUAAGCCUUAAUGUGCAUACCCAUCGCCUGGAGCUCGCCUUAAGAUGUAGGUUCUGCCUGAAGCCCAAGUUCAUUUAGUAUGUCAUGGUUAAUUCAGAGUAAAAUCAAGAGUUAGUACUUGAUUUAUGCUUGUUAUAUAAAGAAAGAGACAACUUCACUGUAUGAUCAUUUUGUCACUUUUCAAAAGCAUUUAAUUCCCAUUCAAUUGAAAAUGUUUCAAGAACAAACCUGUUUGGUCAUUUUAUUGAUAUUGCAC